CCUACGGGUGGCAGCAGUGGGGAAUAUUGGGCAAUGGGCGCAAGCCUGACCCAGCAACGCCGCGUGAAGGAAGAAGGCUUUCGGGUUGUAAACUUCUUUUAAGAGGGAAGAGCAGAAGACGGUACCUCUUGAAUAAGCCACGGCUAACUACGUGCCAGCAGCCGCAGUAAUACGUAGGUGACAAGCGUUGUCCGGAUUUACUGGGUGUAAAGGGCGUGUAGCCGGGCUGACAAGUCAGAUGUGAAAUUCCGGGGCUCAACCCCUGACCUGCAUUUGAAACUGUUGGUCUGGAGUAUCGGAGAGGCAGGCGGAAUGCCUGGUGUAGCGGUGAAAUGCGUAGAUAUUAGGAGGAACACCAGUGGCGAAGGCGGCCUGCUGGACGACAACUGACGGUGAGGCGCGAAAGCGUGGGGAGCAAACAGGAUUAGAUACCCCAGUAGUC
rnacentral:rRNA from 1 species